UACGAAUGAAAUUUCGAUGGAUUUUGUAAAUGGAAAGCGGCGGACGGGUGAGUAACGCGUAGGUAACCUGCCCCAUACAGAGGGAUAGCCACUGGAAACGGUGAUUAAUACCUCAUAAAACUGAGAAUACACAUGUAUGCUCAGCCAAAGAUUUAUCGGUAUGGGAUGGACCUGCGUCUGAUUAGUUAGUUGGUGAGGUAACGGCUCACCAAGGCGACGAUCAGUAGCCGACCUGAGAGGGUGAUCGGCCACAUUGGAACUGAGACACGGUCCAAACUCCUACGGGAGGCAGCAGUGGGGAAUAUUGCACAAUGGGCGAAAGCCUGAUGCAGCAACGCCGCGUGAACGAAGAAGGCUCUUGGGUCGUAAAGUUCUGUUCUGAGGGAAGAAGAAAGUGACGGUACCUCAGGAGAAAGCCCCGUCUAACUACGUGCCAGCAGCCGCGGUAAUACGUAGGGGGCAAGCGUUGUCCGGAAUUAUUGGGCGUAAAGAGUACGUAGGCGGUCUGUUAAGCGCAAGGUGAAAGGCAUAGGCUCAACCAAUGUGAGCCUUGCGAACUGGCAGACUUGAGUGCAGGAGAGGAAAGCGGAAUUCCUAGUGUAGCGGUGAAAUGCGUAGAUAUUAGGAGGAACACCGGUGGCGAAGGCGGCUUUCUGGACUGAAACUGACGCUGAGGUACGAAAGCGUGGGGAGCAAACAGGAUUAGAUACCCUGGUAGUCCACGCUGUAAACGAUGAGCACUAGGUGUCGGGGUCGAAAGACUUCGGUGCCGCAGUUAACGCAAUAAGUGCUCCGCCUGGG
rnacentral:rRNA from 1 species